UAGACUCAGCGGGAAGUCUGGGAUGAGAGGGAGUAGCUGGAGGAGGACAGGCAGAGUGUCAUGGAGGACUGAGUUGGGGUUUGAGUAAUAGGGCUGGAGGACAGAGGAAAGAGGCAUGAAACUGAGGAGGGCUAAAGAGACAACAGGAAACAGGGAAGCAUCUGUGGAGAGGUGUCAGAGGAGAGGUGACCAAAGGCCUGGGAGAAUGGAAGGCUGAGGAGAAGGGCACAUACGUGAGGAGGGCAAAACACCAGAAGGAUGUGAGAGGAAGGAGGUUCUGUAGGAGAGGAAGACGACUGAGCAGAUGAGUUAUUUGGAUCCUGAGGACAGCAGGAGAAGGGCAAAUGGAGGGUGAGGAGGGAAGGAGGUUCUGGGAAAGUAAUGGCACUGUGGGA
rnacentral:lncRNA from 1 species